rnacentral:rRNA from 1 species
AAACUUUCAACAACGGAUCUCUUGGUUCUGGCAUCGAUGAAGAACGCAGCGAAAUGCGAUAA